CACACCGCCCGUCACACCAUGGGAGUUGGUUCUACCCGAAGGCAGUGCGCCCAACCGCAAGGAGGCAGCUGACCACGGUAGGGUCAGCGACUGGGGUG
rnacentral:rRNA from 1 species